rnacentral:rRNA from 1 species
AUCUGGGCAGCAGAAUUCAGGAUGACGGCUCGCGAUCUUGACGCGCGUCGUCGUUUGAUAUUUCUGUUGCCGGCGCAGACGUCGCGACCCGUUCGUCGUCGGUCCCUGCUCGGAGGAGCCGCGUUCGAGCUCGUUGCGGGCGCGUUUUUACGCGUUUCGCGGCGAAGGCGCGGUCAUCUGGCCGAUCGACGGACGGUACGUUCCAGUGGUGUCCGGUGUCGCCGUUUCGUACGCGCGGCAUCCGGUACCGGUCGGCGACGAAUUCUUCGGGCCUCUUUCCGACCCGUCUUGAAACACGGACCAAGGAGUCUAACAUGCACGCGAGUCGCGGGGUGUCGAGCGUACCGCGCGUGCGCUCGUUACGACGCGAAACCCGUUCACAUGUAAGGCGUAAUGAAAGUGAAGUGGGAAGAUGGUGUUCCGAGUACACGUUCCGCGAUCGUCGGUAUCGCGGCCGGACACCCGCAUUCCCGGGGCGUCUCAACGGCCCGUCGUGGUCGCGGACGGUCGUCUCUCGGGGCGGCCGUCGGUCCGCGACGAACCGAGGCGCACCUACAGCGUGCACGUUGGUACCCGAAAGAUGGUGAACUAUGCCUGGCCAGGAUGAAGUCAGGGGAAACCCUGAUGGAGGUCCGCAGCGAUUCUGACGUGCAAAUCGAUCGUCUGAGCUGGGUAUAGGGGCGAAAGACUAAUCGAACCAUCUAGUAGCUGGUUCCUUCA